rnacentral:misc_RNA from 2 species
AACGCACAUUGCGCCCUGUGGUAUUCCGCAGGGCAUGCCUGUUCGAGCGUCAGUACAACACUCAAGCCUAGCUUGGUAUUGAGCCACGCCCGCAAGGGCUGGCUUUAAAAUCAGUGGCGGCGCCAUCUGGCUCUAAGCGUAGUAAUACUUCUCGCUAUUGAGUUCCGGUGGAUGCUGGCCAGCAACCUCCAACUUUCUUAGUUUGACCUCGGAUCAGGUAGGGAUACCCGCUGAACUUAA